rnacentral:rRNA from 1 species
ACUACGGGAGGCAGCAGUAGGGAAUCUUCCACAAUGGGCGAAAGCCUGAUGGAGCAACGCCGCGUGGGUGAAGAAGGUCUUCGGAUCGUAAAACCCUGUUGUUAGAGAAGAAAGUGCGUGAGAGUAACUGUUCACGUUUCGACGGUAUCUAACCAGAAAGCGACGGCUAACUACGUGCAAGCAGCCGCGGUAAUACGGAGGUGGAAAGCGUUAUCCGGAUUUAUUGGGCGUAAAGGGAACGGAGGCGGUCCUUUAAGUAUGAUGUGAAAGCCUUCGGCUUAACCGGAGUAGUGCAUUGGAAACUGGGAGACUUGAGUGCAGAAGAGGAGAGUGGAACUCCAUGUGUAGCGGUGAAAUGCGUAGAUAUAUGGAAGAACACCAGUGGCGAAAGCGGCUCUCUGGUCUGUAACUGACGCUGAGGUUCGAAAGCGUGGGUAGCAAACAGGAUUAGAUACCCCAGUAGUC